UGGGGAAUAUUGGGCAAUGGGCGAAAGCCUGACCCAGCGACGCCGCGUGGGUGAUGAAGGCCUUCGGGUCGUAAAGCCCUGUCAGAAGGAAAGAACGAUCUUAUGGUGAAUACCCAUGAGAUGUGACGGUACCUUCGAAGGAAGCACCGGCCAAUUCCGUGCCAGCAGCCGCGGUAAGACGGAAGGUGCAAGCGUUGCUCGGAAUCACUGGGCGUAAAGGGUGCGUAGGCGGCUUCUUAAGUCUGGUGUGAAAGCCCAGGGCUCAGCUCUGGAAGUGCACUAGAUACUGGGAAGCUUGAGUAUCGGAGGGGAGAGUGGAAUUCCUGGUGUAGCGGUGAAAUGCGUAGAUAUCAGGAGGAAUACCGGUGGCGAAGGCGGCUAGCUGGGCCAGUUCUGACGCUCAUCCGCGAAAGCGUGGGGAGCAAACAGGAUUAGAUACCCCCGUAGUCCCUGAGCGGGCUGGCAAGGCGCAU
rnacentral:rRNA from 1 species